rnacentral:rRNA from 1 species
CGCGUGAGCAACAUGCCCGGGACUGGGGGAUAGUCGAUGGAAACGUCGUGUAAUACCCGUAACACAUUGCACGCAUGAUGCGAUGUUGAGAGAUUUAUCGAUUCCGGGAUUGGCUCGCGUCCCAUUAGCUAGUUGGCGGGGUAACGGCCCACCAAGGCGACGAUGGGUAGGGGUUCUGAGAGGAAGGUCCCCACAUUGGAACUGAGACACGGUCCAGACUCCUACGGGAGGCAGCAGUGAGGAAUAUUGGACAAUGGCCGAGAGGCUGAUCCAGCCAUGCCGCGUGCGGGAGGACGGCCUAUGGGUUGUAAACCGCUUUUGUCAGGGGGCAAUAAGGGCCACGUGUGGCCCGAUGAGAGUACCUGGCGAAUAAGCAUCGGCUAACUCCGUGCCAGCCGCCGC